ACUGCACGGGGUUUAAUCUAGUAUAUAAGUAUGAGAUUAUUCUACAAGAUUUGAUUUUGUCAUAAAUUUCCAAAUUUAUUCUAUUUUUAAUAAGUACUCUCUCCAUCUUUUUAUUAGAGUCCCAUUUCUAACAUUUAUUACCCACAUAAUAAAGAGAAAUAAGACUCUAAUAUAAGGAUGGAGGGAGCUAUAGUCCUAAGGGCUACAUACAUCAGUACCCUUAAUUAUAGGACAAUCAAGUAGAAACGGAGUUUCAUUGUUAAUUCAAUCCAUCAAUACAUGCUAUAAUUGAAUAGAACGAUAAAUAUGACCGUGGAUUUUUAUUUUUAUUUUUAAUUAAAGGUAGGAAAAACAACUUGAUAUAAGAAGAUCUAAAACAAAAAUUCAAAAAAACAAUAGAUGUUUUCCAUGUGUAAAUGACAUAGGCAAAUAACAAGAAGCUUACGCGUCUUUUGAGUUGAGAUAGGCUCAGCCAUCUGACGAGCUGAAACUACACAAGGAGUGAGAAAAAGAACAGCGAAGAUGAUGCCAAUUAGAAAAACCUUUGAGGAAGCCAUUUUUUGACUCAACUACUAAAACUUGUUCUGGGGUGUAAUAAAACGUACAAAAGUUGAUCACUUAUUUAUAGUCAAUUGUAGCCUCCAUGUUGGAAUAUUUCCAAUAAUUAUGUUAUGUAUGGGAGGGUAUCCCACAUGGAAAGAAUAAGAAGGUUAUGUAUUGUUUAUAUAGUAAAUAAUUGGAUAUGAUUUAUGAAAUAGGCUAAGUGGUGUUUUGGACAAGUGGGCUAAGUGGCUUAAAUCCCUACCUUAUAAAAAGUAGAAACUUUCUCUUAUGAACAGUCUGUGGACGUUUAUAACCUAAAAAAAAUUCAUUUUACCUAUUUGCCCUCACGUCAAAAGCAUACAAGUAUGAGUUUAAUUUUAUUUUUAACCUCUUUCUCUCUUCUUCGUUCAGUUAUUUUCUGGCACAACUUUUCAUCUUUCUCACUAAAAGGACAACUCUUCAAUUCUUUAUCCUCAUCUCCACCGUCACCACGGGUCACUUCUUCUUCUCUAUUUUGAAAAUUCACUAACCUCUUUCUACAAUGGUGUGCAUCUGAUUUUCUUUAAUCAAAGGUUUCAAUUGAUUGAUGUUACCAAUUGCGCCUUUCUUGGGGUUUUAAACGACAUGUUCUGAAAUCUGAUUUAAUUUAGCAAUACAAUUUGGUGGCUUCAACGUUUCUUCCAUUGUGGAUGGGAAAUCUGGUUGGAAAGGAAUGAAACGAUUUUCCGGGUAGGUACUUUUUUUUUUUUGCACGAUUCGGAAUCCUUUUUGAUAUCCAAAGACCUCACAUUAUUCUGAUCAAUGAUUAUUUUGUUCGGGGGAGGUACUUUCUCUAUAGGUGAUACACUGAUACCAUGGAAAGAGGAAAGCUGAGAGUUCAAGAGCAUGUUAUUUGCCUUCAAAUAUAAAGAAUCAAAAGUAGAGGCUCAACCUGUUGACUUUGAUCUGGGAAUUCCACUAGGCUUCCUAAUUGCUAGCUUAGGGAAGAAUGUAGAAGGUCCUUGUUUUAUACAAUUUGACGGAGCCUGGAACAAGACAAACAAGAACAUGGGACUUGGCUGGGUGCUGGAAAUAUAUGGGUUGAUUGGGUUCAUCACAACAAGAGGAGGGUGCUUGUAGAAUUGUAGAAUGGUUGUAUGUCACAUGAUAGACAUGUGACUGUUUUGUCUUAUUUGCAGUGGCUCUAUUUCAUUGGUGACAGUUGUUAGCCUGGUGUAUUUUCUCAGCUUGGUGUAUUUUCUCUAGAAUGAUCUGUAUUCCUAGGUUAGAAUGUAUCUAGGGAUUGUAAGGAGCAGUGAUAUAAAUAUCCUUGUAAGGCUACGCAACCGAGUGAGAAAAACCAAAGAGUAAUUGUAUACUCACAAAAGUAGUGUACACUUAAACCUGGAUAAAAAGGAAAACAGCAAGUUUUGCUGAUAAAA